rnacentral:rRNA from 1 species
GAUGAACGCUGGCGGCGUGCCUAAUACAUGCAAGUCGAGCGAACAGACGAGAAGCUUGCUCCUCUGACGUUAGCGGCGGACGGGUGAGUAACACGUGGAUAACCUACCUAUAAGACUGGGAUAACUUCGGGAAACCGGAGCUAAUACCGGAUAAUAUUUUGAACCGCAUGGUUCAAAAGUGAAAGACGGUUUUGCUGUCACUUAUAGAUGGAUCCGCGCCGCAUUAGCUAGUUGGUAAGGUAACGGCCUAACAAGGGAACGAUGCAUAGCCGUCCAGAAGGGGUGAUCCGCCACAACGGCACUGAAACAGAGGUCCGACUCCUACGGGAAGCGGCAGUUGGGAAUCAUGCGGAAAGGGGGGAAGGCUGCAGGCGGAAAGGCGGCGGAAGUAUGGAAGUCCUCCGUUCGUAAAACUCUGUUUAUUGGGAAAAAAAAGAUUGGAAUUUCCAAUGGGAGUAUUGAUGGCACCUAAACGAAAAAGCACCGCAAACUUCCGG